AAGUCGAGCGGACCGACGGGAGCUUGCUCCCUUAGGUCAGCGGCGGACGGGUGAGUAACACGUGGGUAACCUGCCUGUAAGACUGGGAUAACUCCGGGAAACCGGGGCUAAUACCGGAUGCUUGAUUGAACCGCAUGGUUCAAUCAUAAAAGGUGGCUUUUAGCUACCACUUGCAGAUGGACCCGCGGCGCAUUAGCUAGUUGGUGAGGUAACGGCUCACCAAGGCGACGAUGCGUAGCCGACCUGAGAGGGUGAUCGGCCACACUGGGACUGAGACACGGCCCAGACUCCUACGGGAGGCAGCAGUAGGGAAUCUUCCGCAAUGGACGAAAGUCUGACGGAGCAACGCCGCGUGAGUGAUGAAGGUUUUCGGAUCGUAAAACUCUGUUGUUAGGGAAGAACAAGUACCGUUCGAAUAGGGCGGUACCUUGACGGUACCUAACCAGAAAGCCACGGCUAACUACGUGCCAGCAGCCGCGGUAAUACGUAGGUGGCAAGCGUUGUCCGGAAUUAUUGGGCGUAAAGCGCGCGCAGGCGGUUUCUUAAGUCUGAUGUGAAAGCCCCCGGCUCAACCGGGGAGGGUCAUUGGAAACUGGGGAACUUGAGUGCAGAAGAGGAGAGUGGAAUUCCACGUGUAGCGGUGAAAUGCGUAGAGAUGUGGAGGAACACCAGUGGCGAA
rnacentral:rRNA from 2 species